CCUGAUGCAGCGACGCCGCGUGAGGGAGUGACGGCCUUCGGGUUGUAAACCUCUUUCAGUAGGGAAGAAGCGAAAGUGACGGUACCUGCAGAAGAAGCGCCGGCUAACUACGUGCCAGCAGCCGCGGUAAUACGUAGGGCGCAAGCGUUAUCCGGAAUUAUUGGGCGUAAAGAGCUCGUAGGCGGUUUGUCGCGUCUGCCGUGAAAGUCCGGGGGCUCAACUCCGGAUCUGCGGUGGGUACGGGCAGACUAGAGUGAUGUAGGGGAGACUGGAAUUCCUGGUGUAGCGGUGAAAUGCGCAGAUAUCAGGAGGAACACCGAUGGCGAAGGCAGGUCUCUGGGCAUUAACUGACGCUGAGGAGCGAAAGCAUGGGGAGCGAACAGGAUUAGAUACCCUGGUAGUCCAUGCCGUAAACGUUGGGCACUAGGUGUGGGGGACAUUCCACGUUUUCCGCGCCGUAGCUAACGCAUUAAGUGCCCCGCCUGGGGAGUACGGCCGCAAGGCUA
rnacentral:rRNA from 1 species